rnacentral:lncRNA from 1 species
GGCUGCUGGGAGCAGAGUUUAGGGCAGGAAGUCAGAUGGAAAUAUUGGCCUUGCCACAAUCCCAAGCCCCUGUCCUCCAGUCUUGUGGGGGUGGGUAGCAGCUGCUGACCCUCUGGGGUUAAAUAUAGUCCAUAUAAAUAUUGGUUGCAGGACCUAAUAUACUUGUAGACAUGCUUUUGCCUGCCUGCCUUCUGUCCUUCCUUCCUUCCUUGUCAUUCAUUCAUUCAUUCCUCAUAACUGAGCAGCAGUUCUCAGCCCAGUCCAUGCCAGCGAUGCAGACAUGAGUCAGACUAGCUCCCCUCUUCCACCUACACAAAGCUCCCUUUCUACCUCAGCCAUAGGCCACUGCUAGCGAGGUCCUUCGGUGGAGCACUGUGAUGUGAGAGACCCUGGAGGCAGGGCCAGCCAGCACAGCUGGAGAGCCAAGGAAAGAUUCCUGGUGGAAGUGGCAUUCAAGAGUGGUGUAUUUUCACAUUUAUUUUUAAGGGGAAGGUAAUACAGAUGUUUGUAACUUUAAAAGAAAGCCAAGAGCUGAGGAUGUCGCUGUGUCGGAAGUGUUUGGUCAGCCUGAAGUCCUGGGUUCAGUCUCCAGCCGUAGAUAAGCUAGGUAUGAUGGCAGAUAGCAGAGUCACUCAUUGGAAGCCUUCCUUUGCUACACAGUGAGUUAGAGGUUAGCCUGGACUGCACGAGUCUCAAUGUAUAUAUCAAAAGAGGACAAAAUAGGAAAUACAGAAUAACAGAGUUUUCCUUUAAUUUGAUCCCAUCCCAGAGGCAACUUCUAUUAUUUAUCUGGUUUUUUAAGGUGUAUUUAUUUUAUUUUAUGUGUGUUUUGCUUGCAUAUGUAUGUGCAUCAUGUACAUGCCUAGUAUCAGUGGCGUUCAGUAAAGGGUGUCGGAUUCCCUGGAAGUGAAGUUACAGACAUUUACGAGCUGUCAUAUGUGUGCUAAGAACUGAACCCAGGGUCUCUAUAAGAGUAACAGUUGCUCUUAACUGCUGAGCCAUCUCUCCAGCCUUCUCUGUGUCUCUCAAAGAUUCCCUAGACAUCUCUAAGCUCAGGAAUGUGUAUUUGCUUUCUCUAAAACACAACUUGUGAGCUAGGGAGAUGCUCUGCUGGCAAAGGUGCCUGCCACCGAGCUUGACUACCUCAGGUUGAUCGCUAGGACCCACACGCAGAAGGCGAGAACCAACUUCCACAAGUUACCCUCUGGCUUUCAAAUGUACACUGGGGCACACAUCCACAUGCAUAUAAAUUAAAUAAAAUGUAAUAAAAGAUGCUAACCCACACAAUUUAUACCUGGGUGUGGUGGUGCUUGCCAGUAACCCUGUCCUGGAGGCUGAGGAUGGAAUUUGAAAUCAGUCUGGACUAUAUAACCAGAACCUGUAUCAAAAAUCCAAAACCAGCCGGGCAUGGGGCGCACACCUUUAGUCCCAGCACUCAGGAAGCAGAGGCAGGUGGAUUUCUGAGUUCAAGGCCAGCCUGGUCUACAAAGCGAGUUCCAGGACAGCCAGGGCUACACAGAGAAACCAUAUCUCAAAAAAACC